rnacentral:rRNA from 1 species
UACGGAGGGUGCAAGCGUUAUCCGGAUUCACUGGGUUUAAAGGGUGCGUAGGCGGGCAGGUAAGUCAGUGGUGAAAUCUCCGGGCUUAACCCGGAAACUGCCGUUGAUACUAUCUGUCUUGAAUAUCGUGGAGGUAAGCGGAAUAUGUCAUGUAGCGGUGAAAUGCUUAGAUAUGACAUAGAACACCGAUUGCGAAGGCAGCUUAUUACACGAUCAUUGACGCUGAGGCACGAAAGCGUGGGGAGCAAACAGG